rnacentral:rRNA from 1 species
GAGAUGUGUGAUGACGCAUAUCAAUAAGCGGAGGAAAAGAAACUAACAAGGAUUCCCUUAGUAACGGCGAGUGAAGCGGGAAGAGCUCAAAUUUGAAAUCUUCAAGGUUCUACCUUGACGAAUUGUAGUUUAAUAGAAGUGUUUUCUGUUAGUAGGAGUGGCAAAAGUUCUUUGGAAUAGGACAUCAUAGAGGAUGAGAAUCCCGUAUUUGGUCAUUCCUUUCUAGCUUUGUGAUACACUUUCAAAGAGUCGGAUUGUUUGGGAAUGCAGUCCAAAAUGGGUGGUAAAUUUCAUCUAAAGCUAAAUAUUGGCGAGAGACCGAUAGCGAACAAGUACCGUGAGGGAAAGAUGAAAAGAACUUUGAAAAGAGAGUUAAACAGUACGUGAAAUUGUCAAAAGGGAAGCGUUUGACACCAGUGUUGUUUUUCCGAAAAUCAAUUACGAAUGUUUUAUUUUUGAGGAGUUAUGACUUCAUCGGCUUGCUCCUUUCUUUAUGAAACUUUCUUAAUGCACUUUUCGGUUAACAAGUCAACAUCAAUUUCUUUUGUUGUAAAAGGGUAUGAGGAAGGUGGCUUUCUUUUCGGAGAAAGUGUUUAUAGCCUUGUACCUCUGCAAUCGGAGAGAUUGAGGUCUGCAGCGUAGAUCCUUCGGGGUUAGAUACAUUUGUGCUAAGUUAUAGCUUUUCAUAGACAACUUGUUGACUAUGUUUAGUCUUGUAGCUUACUCGCUUAUCGCUAUUUUACCUACGCUUAGGAUGUUGACAGCAGUAUAGACUGU